rnacentral:rRNA from 1 species
CUUCCGUAGGUGAACCUGCGGAAGGAUCAUUACCGAGUGUAGGGUUCCUAGCGAGCCCAACCUCCCACCCGUGUUUACUGUACCUUAGUUGCUUCGGCGGGCCCGCCAUUCAUGGCCGCCGGGGGCUCUCAGCCCCGGGCCCGCGCCCGCCGGAGACACCACGAACUCUGUCUGAUCUAGUGAAGUCUGAGUUGAUUGUAUCGCAAUCAGUUAAAACUUUCAACAAUGGAUCUCUUGGUUCCGGCAUCGAUGAAGAACGCAGCGAAAUGCGAUAACUAGUGUGAAUUGCAGAAUUCCGUGAAUCAUCGAGUCUUUGAACGCACAUUGCGCCCCCUGGUAUUCCGGGGGGCAUGCCUGUCCGAGCGUCAUUGCUGCCCAUCAAGCACGGCUUGUGUGUUGGGUCGUCGUCCCCUCUCCGGGGGGGACGGGCCCCAAAGGCAGCGGCGGCACCGCGUCCGAUCCUCGAGCGUAUGGGGCUUUGUCACCCGCUCUGUAGGCCCGGCCGGCGCUUGCCGAACGCAAAUCAAUCUUUUUCCAGGUUGACCUCGGAUCAGGUAGGGAUACCCGCUGAACUUAAGCAUAUCAAUAAGCGGAGGAAA